AGCGAAUGCCCUUAAUCUAUGUUAAACUUUAUACGUAUCAGAUAUGUCGGGCACUGGCUUACAUACAUAAUUGCAUUGGUAUCUGUCACCGGGAUAUCAAACCUCAAAACUUACUUGUGAAUCCACAUACACAUCAGCUCAAACUUUGUGACUUUGGGAGUGCGAAAGUCUUGGUGAAAGGGGAACCUAAUGUUUCAUACAUCUGUUCAAGAU
rnacentral:misc_RNA from 1 species